rnacentral:lncRNA from 1 species
AUCACUAUGUUCAUAUGUGUUAUUAAAUUAUGUCUGAACAGUAUAGCUGAACAGAGACCUCGUAGUGGUCUAAAAGUUUUCCAGGGCCAUUGGGCUUCCCACAGACCCUCUUAAGUCUGCUAGAUUUAUUUUUUCAGUUAGGGUUUUAAGUUUAGUUUUGCUAUUUAUUUACAAAUAGAAAACUUAAAAAACAGGUAAGUGACAGUUCCUCAAUUCUCCCUGUCUCCUUUUUUACUUCCAAGUCCUUAUGUAGUUUCUAAAUGUGUCAUUGCAAUCUUUAUUUAUUUUACUGUUCUGAACUAAGACUUUUGAGAUAAGUCCUACGUGAUGAGGAUACCUUGAAUCCUAGUGCGGGGUUGGGGAUAGGGGUUAAGAAUUACAGUGACAGGCUAUGAAAUAGUGUUGUCAUAACUUAUCAGUGGCUAGUAAAUAGGGUAGUUGCCUUCUGACACCAUUUUGAGUGAAGGCAGCUUAAUUGCAUUGCUUCUGUUUAGAUAAGCAUUUAGAAUCUACUGUCAAAGGUAUGAAUGCUGUGCUUAAAGUAUUUCUAUUAUAAAAGAUUUGAUUUCUUCAGUGAUUUUUCUAAGUUCCACUUUACAUCAAAAGUUAUUUGGACAGUGUCUUUCACUGUAUGUGUAUGUGGAGAAACACUGCUUACAAAUGUAUGUAAAUCUGGUGACUAAAAUAUUGAAAAUUUUGCAAAUACAUGAUUGAUAGUUGGUGAUUUAAACUCAUGUGUUACCUGUCGUUCCCCUUCCCCCGCCGGCCAAAGAAAAAGAAUCCUGUGAAAAAACAAUUAAACCUU